rnacentral:rRNA from 1 species
ACGGGGUGCAGCAGGCGCGAAAACUUUACAAUGCCUGCAACGGCGAUAAGGGGACCUUGAGUGCCAGGUUACAAAUCUGGCUGGCGUAAUGCCUAAAAAGCAUUGCAUAGCAAGGGCCGGCCAAGACCGAUGCCAGCCGCCGCGGUAACACCGGCGGCUCGAG